rnacentral:lncRNA from 1 species
GGUAUCUAUAUGUAUUAUUUCUCAUCCCAUCCCCAUCCUGACAUUCUUUCUUCUGCUUUGAGUCCAUUGCCCAUGCUUCCCAUAUGCUUUUUUUAGCUUUGUUUUUUUUUCAUCUUCAACCCUUUUGUCCCUUCUCUUCUCAAGUUUCAUUGCUUAAGUUUUCUUUAAUAUUGCUGAAUUCUAUCAUCUCUCUUGCUGCCUUUUUCUUUUGUAUUGAUGACUUUCUCUGUAGGCCCUGUAUUGGAUUAAUUUUCCCAUUGAGUAUUCACUUUCAGGCCAUUGAUCAAUUUUUUUUUUACAAGAAAACUUUGAAAUGAAAUAUUCAUCUGAUAUUUUACCUAUCUCAGAAUGUUGCCUUUCUUUUUUUAAUGUUUCUUGUGUUUUCUGUCACAGUCUACAUGUCUUUGGGUUUAUAUGUCUUUUCUUGAUUUUGGAGAUUUGGUGGUGGUGGUGAAUUUCAUCAACAGCUUAGACCACAGGGAAAGUAAGCACCACAAGUUCACUGAUUUCUUUGCCGGUCUUCACAAAGUCUGAAACCUCAGGAAGCUGGCCCAAUACUUAAUCUUUUUUUCCUUUGUGAUUUUAAUUACAUUUAGUGUUAUUUUUAACCACUAUAUAAGACAUAGAAGUUACUCAAAAAAUGAAUACUAGAACUACCAUAGAAUCUAACCAUACCAUUCUUGGGUAUAUAGGCCCAGAAGCCAUCUAGAGGUAUUUGCACAUCCAUGUACUUGCAUGGUAACU